rnacentral:misc_RNA from 1 species
AGAAAAACUUUUGGAAUAAAAAAGGUCAAGGCCAUAUAUGUAAGUAACAUUUGCCAUGUGGGCUUUACUUUUAAAUACUGCAAAGAACGGGUUUGUUAUUAGAAGAAUACCACAUAAAGCAUUCAGUGUUUACUCUACGAUAAGUGGUCCGAUCAGGUUAAUUGGGAAAAAUGACAAGAUAUUGCACGAAAUUGCACAUAAUCGAGAGCUUCUGUCAAAUAUUCUAUCAAUAAACGCAAGACAUUUACAUACAUCUCAAUCACUGCUUAAAAAGGAUGAAUCUAAAGUAGAACAAGCUGUAAAGGCUUUAAAAGAAAGUGUAGAAGAGCAAACAAAAGAUGGCAAAGACGAAAAUGAGCAAACAAAGUCCUUAUCGACUAGAACAGUGGAAAGUGUAAAACCGGCAACCGUGAUCCCGAAAAAGAAAUUAAGCCAACGAAUUAUUGAUGAAGUAAAGCAUUAUUACCAUGGAUUUCGAUUGUUAUUUAUUGAUGUUCGUGUUUGCUCUCGUUUAAUUUGGCAAGUGCUAAAUGGAAAAACGUUAAGUAGACGAGAGAGAAGACAACUCGUUACAACGACUUCUGACCUAUUCCGCUUGGUUCCAUUUCUUGUAUUUAUGAUUGUUCCUUUCAUGGAAUUCUUAAUACCGGUCGCUCUUAAACUUUUUCCAAAUAUGUUGCCUUCAACUUUCCAAGAUGAGAAUCGAGAAAGUGAGAAAAUAAAGAAAAUGCUAAAAGUUCGACUCGAAAUGGCAAAGUUUCUACAGGAUACUAUCGAGGAUACAGCUCUAACGAAAAAGAGAGCUGGAAAAAUAGAUGAAGAUGAAACAAAGCUGGAAGAAUUCCAUAAAUUUAUUGAAUCUAUCAGAACUUCAGGUACUCUUGUUUCUAAUGAACAAAUUCUCAAAUAUUCGAAAUUAUUCGAAGAUGACAUUACAUUAGACAGUCUUAAUCAAGGACAAUUAAAGGCUUUAUGUCGUUUAUUGGGAAUCCCUGUGCUGGGAAAUAACACUCUUCUUCGUUUUCAACUUAGAAUGAAACUUAGGCAAUUGGAAGCUGAUGACAGGAUGAUAAAAAAUGAAGGCAUAGACUCCUUAACUAUUUGGGAAUUGCAAGAUGCUUGUAGAGCUAGAGGAAUGAGAGCUCUUGGUCUUUCUGAAGAAAGAUUGAAAUCGCAAUUGGCAUCUUGGCUUGAUUUGCAUUUGAAUAAUCAAGUACCCGCUUCACUGCUACUGCUAUCAAGAACUUUGUUUAUGGUUGAAAAUCUCUCAACUGAAGCGCAAUUGGCAGCAACAUUAUCAGAGUUACCACACCAAACUGCUGAUAGUGCUAAAAUUAAAAUCACUGAGGCAAUUGGAGAGCGUAUUGACAAUAAGACUAAAUUAGAGCUCAUUAAGAAAGAGGAGGCUGCAAUUAAAGCUGAAGCAAAGGAGAUAGCGGAAGAGGAAGCCAAAAAUAAAAAAGAAGCUGAGCAAGCUGAAGCUGAGUUGAAGGAAAAAGAGACUUCCACCGAAAAAGUUAUUGAUGAAAAACUGAUUAAAAGUGAUGUUGAAGAUAUUCUUGUUGACAAAGCAGAAGAAUUGAAAUCUUCACCUCAAGAAGUCCUCAUAGACAAAGCUGAGGACGUUGCAGAAUCUGAAAAAGAUGAAGAAAUUACCACAACUGAUCUAGAAAAGGUUGAAACUGUGCUUGAAAAAAUUGCUGAAGAAAAAGUUUAUGAACUUGAAACAAAAGAACUAAAAGAAGAUGUUGAAGAGUAUGAUCGAGACUUAGCUGAGUUGAAAGAUGUUGUCAUGACAACUGGAACUUCUGAAGAGCUACAAGAAACUUUAGCAGCCAAGAGAUUACGUUCUCAGGUCAAUAAGCUUAUUAAUCAAAUAGAUACAGUAGUCACGGAUUUCCAUAAAGAAAAAGCAGAAAUUAUAGAAGCAAUAGAAGUUAAGGAAGUAAAAAUGAAGAGAAAUUUAAAUCUAUUGGAGGAUCAAGAGCAAAGACAAAACAUCCAAGAUCAAAUUAAUAAAAAAAAGGAAAAUCUUAUAACAAUUAAUGAAUUGAUGCUUGGUAUGAAGAGACUGCAGAAAUUAGAUGAUGAUACAAAAUUUCAAAAGAUCGCGGAAGUGUUAGAUGAAGAUGGGGACGGAGCUAUUGAUCUUGAACAUGCAAUGAAAGUAAUAGAAUUAUUAGGAAAGGAAAAUGUAAAAAUUGGAUCCAGUCAAAUUGCAGAAAUAGUUAGUAUCCUAAAGAAGGAAGCUGUUUUAGAAGAGGAAGAUAAGAAAAAAGAGAAAGAACAGAUAGAAUCACAGGACAGGCAGAUUUAAGCAUACCAUUAAGAGUGAAUAUUUGUACUUUUACCAUAUGUUGUUAAGUAAAUUAAGUACAGUUCCAUUUUCGAUUAUUACUGUUUUUGCUUAGAAAAUGAAUGUGAAUUAUAGACUGUAAAUAUAAGUGAACACUUUUUGUGCCGCACAAUACUUCGUCUUUCAGUAAGAUUUUGUAUGCAAGUGUGGUUAAUGAAAGAAUCAAAAAAAUAUUUAAAAAACCUCAAGAACUGCUUAUUUAAUUAUAUUUAUCUGAAUGUUUAAAGGUUCGUUUACUUUGUGUCUAUCGUUCGAUGUUUGUAAUCGUAUUAACUUCAACUAUCGGAAGAGGGUGACGGACAUCGCAUAGUUCCAACGCCAUCUCUAUGCCUACAUCCAAAGUAACUGCCAUGUACACUUGGUAGUAUGGAAUCAUAAUUUAUUUUAUACAUUGGUCCUGGUAUUACUGAGGAAUAUGUGGGUGGUUCAUGCCUUGAUUGAAUAGAAAAUGCCGGAGCAUCAAGUUUUGUUUUAUGUCCUAGUUGAUAACGAGGGCAGUCGUUUGACUGAAAAGUAAAAUAAUUUCAUUAAAGAUUCCAAUAAAAAAGACAGGUAAAGACUUUCAAUGUUUUUGCUUUCCAUCUUCCUGACAAAGAAAAUGAUGGGCCUUUACCCAGAGUAGAUGAGAUACAGUAUCUAUUAGGUGCAGGAGAAUCUUCAUUUUUAACUUUUGGAUAAUUCUUAGACUGUAUUGUAAAAGCUGGCUGAGAACGAUAUAAUUUUGAAUCACUUGGACCAAUGUUUCGCAGUUUAGGAUCUGCUAAAGAAAAGUAAUUAAACUUUCUUCUAUGACAGAAAUGUUUCUAGAUGUACCAUCUCGUUUUAAAGAUUGAAAAAAAUUUCGACCCUUUAUGGAAAUUUCUGGACCUUUAUUAACUCCUGUAUUUGUUAAAAACUUAGCGAUCAUUACUUUUCCCGGUCCAGGACCACACCCAAUUUCUAAACAAUUGUAAUAAUGGUAAUUAUUCUAAAAAAACCGGUAAUUUAAGAACUAUAACCUUCCUUAGUCUUUAUUUUGCCUGCAAUAGAUAUAGCCGGAGCUCGUUUCUUGGUUACAUCGUGACAGUCAUAGGCAAAAGUCGAUGGAAGAAGGUAAGCAGCUGGUCCUGGUCCAACUAGACAACUAUUUUCCAUAUAGUUCUACUAAGAUAUUGAAUUUUUUACCUGAGCUAUUUUUAAAUACGUGAAAAGAGCACAUUUCAAAGAAAUGAUAACUCUAGAAUAAAAUAGUUAGAAACAUAUAGAUUGCAAUGUUAUGUAUUAAACUCUCAAUCAAAACAAAAAGGAUGGGAUAUUUUUAGGAAUAUUAUUUAAAUAUAUAUUCUGAUGUCAUUAUUCUAUUUCCAUUGCCGAACUUUCAACAUUUUUAGUUUGUUUUUUCUUUGUGGGAGUUUUCUUUGUUGUCUUUUCUUGUGGUUUGACUUCCAUCAUCUCUUCAUCUACAAAAAGAGUAUAUUUUACAUCUUGCUAUUUUAACAGAAAUAAGUUGAGUAGCUUAUAAGAGAUCAUAUACUUACCAUUUGUAGGGUUUGAACCUGUU